AAUACAUCUUCAAAGAAUUUCAAAUUUCCACAAGAUAUUUUUCACACACAGGCAACUGGGCAACGCUGGGGAUGUCAGGGCUCAAGGAGCAGGGCAGAACUGGGAGUAAAAAUCUUGAAGUGACCUUCUGUUUUGUCUUUGGUGAUUUUGGUUUGAAAGACAGGGUGCCACAUUCUCCUCUCUGACACACCAAUGCACACUUGCUAAGCAUGUGGGGGUGAACCUGGUCAAAGUGAGAAUUAUCUGAACCAGGGAGAUCUAACUGACUUUGGAAAUGGGACAAUAUCAUCUGCUGACAUGGCUUGGGCUGACCUGAAAGUGCAGCAAGCCCGUGCCAGUAUUUCACAUCUGUUUUAAUUUGCAGCUGACUGAGGGGGAUGGGAUUCCACAUCCCAAACCAGAUGCACUGCAACACCAGUGCUGUGUGAUGAGGAGGCUCACGGUGAAAGCACCCUGGCCCUGGAAGCCCCUCUCCAGGGACCUUUCAAUGGCACUGCCUUCCAGGUGGCAGGAGCUUCCCAGGUCCAUUCUGGUCCUGUGGGGCAGGCACAGCUCCCUGCUCCCAAAAACCUUGUGGGAGCCAGGCCCAUGUACAGUGGUGUCCUGAGCACCCACCACACCUAAUGUGCUCACCAUGGCACAUCACCCUGGGCUUUUCUGCACUCCCUGCUUGUUUUAGACACUUGCUGCUGCAGCUGAGAGGAUCCCACUGAGAUCUGCUGUGAAACCAGCACGGGGAACUGAAACUGGCUGCAUGAAUUAAGGCAAGGAGGGGGAUAGAGUGACACCCCCAUCGACAGGCAUCCCCUGGGGAUAGGGUUAUGCUGCAACAGGGGCCAACACCACUUCAGCACAGUUUGUAUUUCUACUUUUUUCCCAGAACAAAAGGCAGCUCAAGACUGCAGGGAAGUUAACAGAGCUACUCUUCUUGAUUCAUUUUAUGCAAUAUUAAAGGGCAAAGGAGGGAUGGGCACUAGCAAGUUUAGAAGGGGGGACGGAAUCUGAUCACUCAUUACAGAUGGACACAAACAAGAUGGAGAACCUUGCUCACUGGAGGUACUUUUUUUGCCUGCAAACAGAUUAGGGUUAACAAUUUAAACCACUUUUGCAUGUCAUCAUUCAGUAAUUUAUAUAAGGCAUUUCCACUACAAUACGCUGGGCCAUUCAAUGGAGGCUGUGGAGGCUCCUCCUUGCCUCCCCAGUUAAAGCAGCAGCAAGAGCUGGGCCCCCAGGUGCACUGGCUGGGCUUGGCUUGCUAGAUGUUACUGGUGCUCUAAGAAGCAGAACAUUAGCAAACGCAAAACUGACAUUCUAGAAAGUCAAUGGGCAAUUUUUAUGAUUCAGCAGCUAUGGAUUGGGCAGAAGGAAAAAAAACCAAACCCAGAAAGGGGAACUAUACUUGUCCCUUGAACAUUUCUAGCAGAAAGACAAGGAGGAGCCCUCUCCCCCUUCCCCAUGUAAAAGCAAAACCAUCAGCACCCAGAGCGAGGAUACUUAUUAAAUAAAUAAAC